GCUCUGAUUUCCGAACGUUUUCAGUGUGAAAUGGUUGGUGUGUUGUGAAUUUAAGGUUACGGAACAAUAUGCAAAAAAAAACCGUCGCCAGUUUGGUACGUAGUAAUCUUUUACAUAUAUAGUAAUUAUCUAUGUUACAUUUUAAUUAACUGAUUAAAGUAUUCAUUUUAAAUGUAUUACUCAUAAUUGUACAGUUUCGUACGUAGUAAUCUUUUACACAGUAAUCUACGUUACAUUUUAAUUAAUAGAUUAGUAUUUAUUUUAAUUGCAUUACUAAUAAUUGUAUAAUAUUGUUUACAUUAGUAGGAAUUGUUAUGUAGCAACAUAAUCUUAUAAAGUUUGCACACACAUGUAUUAUAAAUUUGGUUACAAAAUAUUAUAUUACUUAAAUAAAAAUGGACAGCGAACACCGUCGAAAGAUAAUUGUUGCUGCAAUCGCAGCAACAGUUGGACAUAAUUUAUUAAGAUCGAUUGUAAAAAAAAUACAGUAUGAGGAAAGUAGUGAUGAUGAUUUUGACAAAUGGAAUAAAGAAGCAAACACGGUCGAACUACGGAUUCGUUCUCGGAGAAAUUUAAGACGAAUUACGAGAAUUAAACAUUAUGUUACCACAACAGUUCCUAAUUAUACAAGAAGGCAGUUCAAAGAACACUUUCGAUUAAGUAUUGAAACUUUUCAAAAUUUAGAACAAAUUUUGGCACCUAAUUUAAUUAGAGCAGCAGAAAGUGGGCAAUGUACUUUAGAUGUACAAACACAAAUGCUUGCUGUUUUAUGGCUACUUGCUACUCCAGAUUCAUUCAGAUCUGUGUCUGACCGCUUUGGCAUCAGCAAAUCAUUAGUACACGAUUCAAUGAAAAGAGUUGUUGCUGCCUUGAACAAUAUUGCAGAUCGAUUUAUUAAAUGACCCAAGGCGAUCAAUUGAACGAGGUAAAACGUCGAUUUUCGGAAAUUGGAUUACUUCCUGAUGUAAUCGGAGCAAUUGAUGGAUGUCACAUUUCCAUCCCAGCACCAAAAAUUCAUUCAAUUUUCUAUAGAACACGAAAGAAAGAAUAUGCUAUUACCUUGCAAGCUGUGUGUAAUGCAAACCUUGUAUUUAUGGACUGUUUUGUCGGUUUUACUGGGUCUGUUCAUGAUGCUAGGAUUUUUCGAAAUUCUGAUCUCUGGCAUGCAGUAACAACAAAUAAAAAUGCUUUUUUUUCCUAAUAACGAAUUUAUCAUUGGCGAUAAGGCUUAUCCGGUACUACCGUGGUGCAUUGCUCCAUAUGUGAACAGAGGCAAUAUGACAGAGG
rnacentral:misc_RNA from 1 species